rnacentral:rRNA from 1 species
AGGUCAAGCUAGUAAGGGCACACGGUGGAUGCCUAGGCGCUAAGAGACGAGGAAGGGCGUGGCAAGCUGCGAAAAGCCUCGGGGAGCCGCAAGCAGGCGUCGAUCCGGGGAUACCCGAAUGGGGCAACCCAACUGGAGUAAUAUCCAGUUACCCUAUGCUGAAUCCAUAGGCAUAGAGGGGGCAACCGAGGGAACUGAAACAUCUUAGUACCUCGAGGAAAAGAAAGAAAACUCGAUUCCCCAAGUAGCGGCGAGCGAAACGGGAAGAGCCUAAACCCGGCACUUAACUCAGCAUUUGAGUUGGGAGAGAAAGAAGAGAAAGAAAGAAGAGAAAGAAAAGGAAGCCAACCGAAAGUUGAGUUAAGUGCCGGGGGUUGCGGGACUCUCAUAAUGGAGUAAGAAACCUUUGUUCUAGUCGAAGCGGUCUGGAAAGGCCCGUCAUAGAAGGUAACAACCCUGUAGGCGAAAGGGCAAAGGCUCCAGAGAGGAUCCCAAGUACCACGGGACACGAGGAACCCCGUGGGAAUCCGGGGGGACCACCCCCCAAGGCUAAAUACUCCUUAGCGACCGAUAGCGAACCAGUACCGUGAGGGAAAGGUGAAAAGCACCCCGGGAGGGGAGUGAAAGAGAACCUGAAACCGUGUGCUUACAAGCAGUCGGAGCCCGAAAGGGUGACGGCGUACUUUUUGUAGAACGGACCGGCGAGUUACAGUAGCAAGCGAGGUUAAGUGGGAGACACGGAGCCGAAGCGAAAGCGAGUCUGAAAGAGGGCGAAGAGUUUGCUGCUGUAGACCCGAAACCGGGUGAUCUACCCAUGGCCAGAGUGAAGUUGUGGUAAAGCACAAUGGAGGCUCGAACUGACCGACGUUGAAAAGUCGGCGGAUGAGCUGUGGGUAGGGGUGAAAUGCCAAUCGAACCCGGAGAUAGCUGGUUCUCCCCGAAAUAGCUUUAGGGCUAGCCUCAAGGGAUGAUUUACGGAGGUAGAGCACUGACUAGGCUAGGGGCCUGAGCAGGUUACCGAACCUUCUCAAACUCCGAAUGCCGUAAAUUGGACCGUGGGAGUCAGACUACGAGUGAUAAGAUCCGUAGUCGAGAGGGAAACAGCCCAGACCGUCGAUUAAGGUCCCGAAGUCUACGCUAAGUGGGAAAGGAUGUGGAGUUGCCGAGACAACCAGGAUGUUGGCUUAGAAGCAGCCACCAUUCAAAGAGUGCGUAAUAGCUCACUGGUCGAGUGGCUCUGCGCCGAAAAUAAACGGGGCUGAAGCGUAGCACCGAAAUCACGGCCCGGCACUUAACUCAGCAUUUCAGGUAGAGGAAUCAAAAAGUUGAAGGAGAAACUAACUGGAGAGUUGAGUUAAGUGCCGGGGGUAGGGGAGCGUUCUCACCGCGGGGAAGUCAUCCUGAAAGGGAUGGUGGAGCGGUGAGAAGAGAGAAUGCCGGUAUGAGUAAGCGAGAAGGCAGGUGAGAAUCCUGCCCGCCGAAAGCCUAAGGUUUUCUGGGGAAGGCUCGUCCGCCCAGAGUAAGCCGGGACCUAAGCCGAGGCCGGAAGGCGUAGGUGAUGGACAAUCGGUUGAGAAUCCGAUGCCACCCAGGACCGUUAGGAGCGAAGGGGUGACACAGGAGGGUAGGCAUAGCGCACCGUUGGUUGAGUGCGUCCAAGCUGGUAGGGGGUAAGAUAGGCAAAUCCGUCUUACGAAACCCCGAGAAGUGAUGGCGAGGGAAGACGAGUACCGAAGUAGCUGAACCCAAACUGUCAAGAAAAGCCUCUAGCCAGGGAAUGGGUGCCCGUACCGCAAACCGACACAGGUAGGCGGGGUGAGAAUCCUAAGGCGCGCGAGAGAACCCUCGUUAAG